rnacentral:lncRNA from 1 species
AAUGAUUUAAUCCUCUGCCAAAUAUGGUUUCAAAGAUACAAUCUCAAAACCAGGAUAAAGCUAAAGCAUACAAAUAAACAAGAACUUAUAACAACUAAAAGAAAUGAUAAAGAAGAAAGACACCAUAGGUGCCCAAGCGUUUAGCUUGUUUUUUUUUCGUUAUCCGGUGCUCUAAGGAAGAUGGAAUAUGGUGAUUCCUUGCUCGGGGAAUGUUGAGUUUGGAGUGAGACUCUAAUGCGAGAGUCUCGGAUUAGGACUCCAUUUGCUCCAAAUAUACGCAAAGGAAAUAAAAGGAAAAGAAAAUUAGAAGAGAAACAUUAUUUGUUAAAGACAUAUAAAGAUGAGGCAUAUAAAAUUAAAUUGUAUCAUUCUUCAAUUUUGGUUCAAUCUAUAUAUAAGAGCAACAGUGUAAGUACCUUUUAGCUGUUAACAGAAAAGGAUGUCAAUGAACAAAUCAUAAUUAUUUCCUUAAGGCCAUCAAAAUAAGCUGAACUUAGUUCUUAAAGCUAUAAGAGAUUAUGACAGCAAAAAUACAACUAACAGUUUCAUCUAUAUCAUAAUUAGAGGAUCAUACUAUAUGUAAUAAAGACAACAUCAAUGCUACAAAUAAGAGGACACGCACACAAUCCAGUCAUGAGAAACAGUGAAGGGCUUCUUGUAUUUCACAAACAAGUACGCCCCAUAAGCAUGAGUUUCUAAUUAAGGAUCUUAAAAAAAACUAAACUAUAAAAGAUCCAUGAAGGUCUCACAAGUUGGUGUUUCAGUCACAAACAUGGAAACAAUGUAAGAAAAAUUCAUAAGCUGGCAUUUCAGACAUAAAACACGAAUUAUAUAAGGGGGAUAAGUGUUCAUAUGUUUAGGCCAAACAAUAACAGCAAGUGUGAUGCCUAGAUAAGUCUAUAAGAUGGCGAGAUUUCAACAAGACUAAACACUGUUAUUUAAUAGUCAUUUAGCUUAGAUCUUUACUAAGUUAUAACAUAAAGAGAACCUUACGUCGAAAUCUUUAGUAGAUAUUUUGUCCAGUAAACCAAAUUAACUUUGCUUUCUAUACUUCAAUGACACCAUCUUAAGAAAGGAUCUCGAAAACCAGGUCCAUUAAAAUACAUAUAAAAUUUUCCAGUCAUAAAAGGUCAUUAACAGGUGCAAACACUAUAAAUAUACCUGCAUACUAGUUAACAAUAAGAGAGGAUCACAACUUGGUUUGAGUUGUAUUAUUUGCUUUCGACAGUAACUAAAAGGGUCUUAUUGCGACUAGUUCAGAGCUAAUUAAAUUUUGCAACUAUGGUCUUUAAGUUUCAAGCAAAAUCUAAAACCGGGAAUCCUUAUAAUAAGAAAAUAUAAAUAAGUUAACUUAUAAGAGUUAUAUCUUUUACAAGAGAGAGCAUAUGAGCCUUUCAUCCAUAUUAACUAAUCAGAAAUCAACAAGAAGCAUCCCGGAUAAUUAAUCAAAUAACAGAAAAUAUAGAGCUCAUUGCCAACUAGAUACUGAAAAGAAAAGAAAAAAUCUAGGAAUGAAACAAAAAGAAAGAUACCGACCUUUUGCGCGGCAGUGAACUGAGGCGCGGAUCUUAGAUGCACUAUUGAGCUCCGACCUCGAACCCGCUUCUUAAAAACAGCUAGUAAACGUUGAAGCGAGCAAAUUAACAGAUAUGUUAUGAUAAAAAGAGAACCAAAUAGAAGCUAAAAGGUCGCACAACGAUAACACUAGAUUUUAGAGAGUAGUAAAAAUAUAAGCUUCUAAAUGGCGACAAAAGCUUAAGGAUUUUUAAGGGAAAGGUGCUGCUGAAACUUUCACUUUGGGGGUGAAAGUGGGCGGCCAAGAGCCAUCAAUUUUUAGGGAAAAAGGGGGCGGCUCCAAAAAAAUCCCCAAUAACAGCUCCAAACAAUGGUAUUUAUAUGGAAAAAAACAUUUGAAUUUCGGAUUUCAAAAGAAGUCGAAAGGAGCCGUUUGAAUUCGAUUUUUUGAAUUCAUAAUCAGACAAAUGAAAAAAUCCAGCUCUUCAGUGAGGUUGCAGGGAAAGAAAAAGAUAAAAAUUGAUGCAAAGAGACGUUGGGUCUAAGCAAGGAUGAGUUUGUGCAAAGAUUUCGUGUACUUCUUCUGUCCAAAGCUGGAAAGCGCUGAGAUUUAGCAUGAAAGAGGAAAGAUGGGGUGUCUGAAGUAGUUUAGAAACUAGGGUUUUGUAAUCUUAUUAGGUUAUUUGGGCUACUAAGACAGGCACCUUAAAAGGCUUGGGUUUUUGGGCUCUU